rnacentral:rRNA from 1 species
AAGAGGCUGAAACUCGCCUCUUUGAAGUCGGAAUCGCUAGUAAUCGCAGAUCAGCAUGUUGCGGUGAAUACGUUUCCUGGUCUUGUACACACCGCCCGUCAAACCAUGAGAGUCGCCAACACCCGAAGUCCGCUUUGCGGCCUAAGGUAGGGGAGAUGAUUGGGGUUAAGUCGUAACAAGGUAUC